rnacentral:tRNA from 1 species
AGCCCCGUGGUCUAGUGGCAAGGAUCCGAGGCUCUGGACCUCGUGGCGGCAGUUCGAAUCUGCCCGGGGCUA